rnacentral:rRNA from 2 species
CGUGGGCAACCUGCCUGUAAGACUGGGAUAACUUCGGGAAACCGGAGCUAAUACCGGAUAACUUCUUUCCUUGCAUGAGGAAAGGUUAAAAGACGGUUAUGCUGUCACUUACAGAUGGGCCCGCGGCGCAUUAGCUAGUUGGUGAGGUAACGGCUCACCAAGGCGACGAUGCGUAGCCGACCUGAGAGGGUGAUCGGCCACACUGGGACUGAGACACGGCCCAGACUCCUACGGGAGGCAGCAGUAGGGAAUCUUCCGCAAUGGACGAAAGUCUGACGGAGCAACGCCGCGUGAGUGAAGAAGGUCUUCGGAUCGUAAAACUCUGUUAUCAGGGAAGAAUAAGUACCGUGUAACUAACGGUACCUUGACGGUACCUGACCAGAAAGCCACGGCUAACUACGUG